UUGUAUUGAUACUUAUUUUGGGACGGAACUGUAUAGUUAGUUUUGUGAUGGUUAUUUCUGGAUUACACUGCUGGAUGGAUUAAAUGAGUUUUCUGUCAGCCUGUUUCAUUAAUUGUUAUGUCUGGAAUACGAUUGUAUCUAAGUCGGUGCUGUGACAAGAAGAGCUGUGGAAACAGAAAUGAAACACCCUCCGAUCCCGUGAUAAUUGACAGAUUAUCAAGAUAUGCAUUGAAGCACACCUGAACUUGCUCUCACUUGCCACUAAAUGCUUAGAAUUAAUUGAGAAUGUAUUAACAGGGAUUCAAGUUUGCCGUCUCUCAAACUUGUAGUCAAAAGACUAUUUGUAAUCUCAUAAUGUAAU